UACGAGAGGCGCAAACGUUAUUCGGAUUCACUGGGCGUAAAGGGUGCGUAGGCGGUCGGGUAAGUCUGUCGUGAAAUCUCCGAGCCCAACUCGGAAACUGCGUCGGAUACUAUUCGGCUAGAGGAAUGGAGGGGAGACUGGAAUUCUCGGUGUAGCAGUGAAAUGCGUAGAUAUCGAGAGGAACACCAGUGGCGAAGGCGAGUCUCUGGACAUUUCCUGACGCUGAGGCACGAAAGCCAGGGGAGCAAACGGG
rnacentral:rRNA from 1 species